rnacentral:rRNA from 1 species
UACGGAGGAUGCGAGCGUUAUCCGGAUUUAUUGGGUUUAAAGGGUGCGUAGGCGGGUUAUCAAGUCAGCGGUAAAAUCGUGGAGCUCAACUCCAUCCAGCCGUUGAAACUGAUGAUCUUGAGUGGGCGAGAAGCAUGCGGAAUGCGUGGUGUAGCGGUGAAAUGCAUAGAUAUCACGCAGAGCUCCGAUUGCGAAGGCAGCAUACCGGCGCCCGACUGACGCUGAAGCACGAAAGCGUGGGUAUCGAACAGG